GACGAACGCUGGCGGCGUGCUUAACACAUGCAAGUCGAACGGGAUUUAGUAGACAGAAGCCUCGGCUAAAGAUUACUAAUGAGAGUGGCGAACGGGUGAGUAACGCGUGAGCAACCUGCCUAUGACAGUGGGAUAGCCUCGGGAAACCGGGAUUAAUACCGCAUAAAAUCGUAGAAACACAUGUUUCAACGGUCAAAGAUUUAUCUGUCAUAGAUGGGCUCGCGUCUGAUUAGCUAGUUGGUGAGAUAACAGCCCACCAAGGCGACGAUCAGUAGCCGGUCUGAGAGGAUGAACGGCCACAUUGGAACUGAGACACGGUCCAAACUCCUACGGGAGGCAGCAGUGGGGAAUAUUGCACAAUGGGGGAAACCCUGAUGCAGCGACGCCGCGUGAACGAAGAAGGUAUUCGUAUCGUAAAGUUCUGUCCUAUGGGAAGAUAAUGACAGUACCAUAGAAGAAAGCUCCGGCUAAAUACGUG
rnacentral:rRNA from 1 species